rnacentral:rRNA from 1 species
CGGGUAUGCUAGUACGGCGAGUGAGCGGCAACAGCUCAAAUUUGAAAGCUGGCCUUCGGGUCCGCAUUGUAAUUUGUAGAGGAUGCUUUGGGUAAAACGCCAGUCUAAGUUCCUUGGAACAGGACGUCAUAGAGGGUGAGAAUCCCGUAUGUGACUGGAAAUGUUAACCUAUGUAAAGCUCCUUCGACGAGUCGAGUUGUUUGGGAAUGCAGCUCUAAAUGGGAGGUAAAUUUCUUCUAAAGCUAAAUAUUGGCGAGAGACCGAUAGCGCACAAGUAGAGUGAUCGAAAGAUGAAAAGCACUUUGGAAAGAGAGUUAAAAAGCACGUGAAAUUGUUGAAAGGGAAGCGCUUGCAAUCAGACUUGUUUAAACUGUUCGGCCGGUCUUCUGACCGGUUUACUCAGUUUGGACAGGCCAGCAUCAGUUUCGGCGGCCGGAUAAAGGCUCUGGGAAUGUGGCCUCCACUUCGGUGGAGGUGUUAUAGCCCAGUGUGUAAUACGGCCAGCCGGGACUGAGGUCCGCGCUUCGGCUAGGAUGCUGGCGUAAUGGUUGUAAGCGACCCGUCUUGAACCACCGGACCAAAAAUUUCCCCCCC